GCUCCUGCUGACGAGCGGCGGACGGGUGAGUAACGCGUGGGAAUCUGCCUAUUGGUGGGGGAUAGCCCGGAGAAAUCCGGAUUAAUACCGCAUAGUACCUAAGGGUUAAAGCAGGGGAUCUUCGGACCUUGCGCCAGUAGAUGAGCCCGCGUCAGAUUAGUUUGUUGGUGAGGUAAUGGCUCACCAAGACUGCGAUCUGUAGCUGGCCUGAGAGGGUGGUCAGUCACACUGGAACUGAGACACGGUCCAGACUCCUACGGGAGGCAGCAGUGGGGAAUAUUGGGCAAUGGGCGCAAGCCUGACCCAGCCAUGCCGCGUGUGUGAAGAAGGCUUUCGGGUUGUAAAGCACUUUAAGUUGGGAGGAAGGUGCGACGGUUAAUACCCGUUGUAAUUGACGUUACCAACAGAAUAAGCACCGGCUAAUUCCGUGCUAGCAGCCGCGGUAAUACGGAAGGUGCAAGCGUUAAUCGGAAUUACUGGGCGUAAAGCGCACGUAGGCGGUUUGCUAAGUCAGAUGUGAAAGCCCAGGGCUUAACCUUGGAACUGCAUCUGAUACUGGCAGGCUAGAGUACAGUAGAGGGAGGUGGAAUUUCAGGUGUAGCGGUGAAAUGCGUAGAGAUCUGAAGGAACACCAGUGGCGAAGGCGGCCUCCUGGACUGAUACUGACGCUGAGGAGCGAAAGCGUGGGGAGCAAACAGGAUUAGAUACCCUGGUAGUCCACGCCGUAAACGAUGUCGACUAGCCGUUGGGAACCUACGAGUUCUUAGUGGCGCAGCUAACGCACUAAGUCGACCGCCUGGGGAGUACGGCCGCAAGGUUAAAACUCAAAUGAAUUGGCGGGGGCCCGCACAAGCGGUGGAGCAUGUGGUUUAAUUCGAAGCAACGCGAAGAACCUUACCAAGUCUUGACAUCCAGAGAACU
rnacentral:rRNA from 1 species